rnacentral:tRNA from 1 species
GCCUGGAUGGCUCAGUUGGUGGAGCAUGGGACCCCUGAUCUCAGGGUUGUGAGUUCGAGCCCCACUUUUGGUG